GGAAGGCAUUGUGGAGUAAUAAGUAGAUGAUGGGUUGCUAGAGUGACAUAAGCUUAAACCCUGGUUUAUGCGUUAUUUCAUAAGGGAUUGACUUGGAUCCACAUCAAAUGAAUUUCAAUUGCCACAAACCGAAGGAAAAGAAUUAUGUCCAACAGAAUACCACUUUAAGAAGAAGGGUAAGAUGAACUCCAAGAAGAACAAGAAGGGAGAUGGCUGAUUCAACUAUGGUUCUGAGGAACAUUGGGUCAUUAAAUUCCCAAACAAGUACAAGAAGCCAGGGUCGGACUCCAAGUCAGCAAAUAUGAUUAUGGGCAACAACGAAAGUGCUACAUAUAUGUCAUAGGUCAUGGGUCUGUAUUGAUGGGGAAUGGCGUGAGUGCUUCUAUUCUUGGUGUUGGCAAUUUUAAAUUUACUACGGGAUGGAUCAUGCAGCCAAAGAAUUUGUAGCAUGUCUCCACCAUCAAGAAGAACCUUGUUAGUGACUUCCAUUUCUGUAGAGAAGGGUUUAAGUUGGUGUUUGAGUCCAAAAAAGUAGUUGUUAUGAAAUAUGCAUUUUUUUUUGAAAAUGUUAUGAAUGCGGUUGUGUGUUCCGCCUUUCCCAUGCGGAUUUUGUAAUAAAGUCGUGAACAAUAUUCAUUCGAGUGUUAAUGAAUAUGAAGUUCGGCA